rnacentral:rRNA from 1 species
AUGGUCGGCGAGGGCAUCGGGGCCCCGCUUCCCAGACUCCGCCCUGCACCACGUCCGCCGCCUGCACGUCCACUGCCUCCGCAUGCCUUCUGCUUCUUGACCGCCGUCGCCUUUGCCUUCACUUUGAGGCAGCGAUUUUGUAGUGUUUUUGAGUUGAUCUUCCAGGCGAGCGUGAUCGCCGAAUCUUCCUCCACCGCCGUCUCUGGCAACUUCUCGUACAGGUCCAUGCGUCGGCGGCGGCGAGAAUUGGGUGGAGAGCGACGGGAGGGAAGAGAAGUGUGGAGGAUUCUACCGCGGAAAUAG